UGGAGCUGAACUUAUUGAGGUAAGACAGAUUAAUGGCUCUUUCUCAAUAUUAAGGGUAGUGGUGCAUGGCCAUUCUUAGUUCGCGGAAUGAUUUGUCUGGUUAAUUCCGAUAACGAACGUGACUCAAUCUAAUUAUUACCUCGUUAUGGAUGAUGAGACGAAUGUAAAAGCAGACUUCCGGCAGCUUCCGGGGCUCCA
rnacentral:ncRNA from 1 species